AUUAAGCCAUGCAUGUCUGAGUGCCCUCCUUAGAUCCAAAGAGAAACCGCGAAUGGCUCAUUAUAUCAGCUAUGAUUCCUUGAAGGUACAGUUAUUCUUAAUUGGAUAACUGUGGCAAUUCUAGAGCUAAUACAUGCACUUAGUCCCUUGCCUUGUGUGUAUACACAGGCGGGGGCGCACUUAUUAGAAUCAUGACCGGCAUGUUCUGGUUACGGCCAGCAACUAAACUGCCAUUAUGAUGACUCUGGAUAACCAAGCUGAGCGCUACUCGCGCCUCUUCUUUCAAGUGUCUUACCUAUCAGCUACUCUGUAGUGCAAGUGCCUACAGUGGCUAUAACGGGUGACGGGGAAUCAGGGUUCGAUUCCGGAGAGGGAGCCUGAGAAACGGCUACCACAUCUAAGGAAGGCAGCAGGCACGCAAAUUACCCACUCCUGGCAUGGGGAGGUAGUGACGAAAAAUAACAAUGCGAGUGCUCGAAAGGGUGCUUGCAAUUGUAAUGAGUACACUUUAAAUCCUUUUGCAAGUACCAAUUGGAGGGCAAGUCUGGUGCCAGCAGCUGCGGUAAUUCCAGCUCCAAUAGCACAUGUCAGAGUUGCUGCGGUUAAAAAGCUCGUAGUUGAGCUUUUCUUUGCUGGUAUGACAUUCCGUUUGGUGUAGCCUGCUCGACAUGCCGGUGAGUUAUUUUCCCGGCGACAGUGUUGAUGCAUGGCAUCGCCAUCGGAGUCAAUAUCAAGUCCAGCAUAUCCGCAGGAAACGACCCUUUAACAAGGGGAUUGUUUCCAUACUGUUGGCUCACACGGGGUGCUCUUAACUGAGUGUGUCGAGUGGCUAACAUGUUUACUUUGACAAAAUUAGAGUGCUUAAAACAGGCAAUAUAUAGCCUGAACAAAAGUUCAUAGCAUAAUAAAAAAAGAUUUGGGGCCUAUUUUUCUCCUUGGAGUGAAUUUGGAGAGAGAGAGAUUAUACAAAUGUCUUAGUCUGGGAAUGUAUAUCUCAUGCCGGUUUGCAUAGAGCCGGAGAUAAUGAUUAAUGGAACCAUAUGGGGGCAUUUGUACUGCGACGCGAGAGGUGAAAUUCUAUGACCGUCGCAAGACAACCCAAAGCGAAAGCAUUUGCCAUGGAUGUUUUCAUUAAUCAGGAACCAAAGUUAGAGGUUCGAAGGCGAUCAGAUACCGCCCUAGUUCUAACCAUAAACUAUGCUAACCAGCAAUCUGUCACCGAUCAUACCAGAUCAGACAGGACUCUUCCGGGAAACCAAAGUCUUUGAGUUCCGGGGGGAGUAUGGUUGCAAAGUCGAAACUUAAAGGAAUUGACGGAAAGGCACCACCAGGAGUGGAGCCUGCGGCUUAAUUUGACUCAACACGGGAAACCUCACCAGGUCCGGACACUAUGAGGAUUGACAGAUUGAAAGCUCUUUCUCGAUUUAGUGGGUGGUGGUGCAUGGCCGUUCUUAGUUGGU
rnacentral:rRNA from 1 species